GAUGAACGCUGGCGGCGUGCCUAAUACAUGCAAGUCGAGCGAACGGACGAGAAGCUUGCUUCUCUGAUGUUAGCGGCGGACGGGUGAGUAACACGUGGAUAACCUACCUAUAAGACUGGGAUAACUUCGGGAAACCGGAGCUAAUACCGGAUAAUAUUUUGAACCGCAUGGUUCAAAAGUGAAAGACGGUCUUGCUGUCACUUAUAGAUGGAUCCGCGCUGCAUUAGCUAGUUGGUAAGGUAACGGCUUACCAAGGCAACGAUGCAUAGCCGACCUGAGAGGGUGAUCGGCCUCACUGGAACUGAGACACGGUCCAGACUCCUACGGGAGGCAGCAGUAGGGAAUCUUCCGCAAUGGGCGAAAGCCUGACGGAGCAACGCCGCGUGAGUGAUGAAGGUCUUCGGAUCGUAAAACUCUGUUAUUAGGGAAGAACAUAUGUGCAAGUAACUGUGCACAUCUUGACGGUACCUAAUCAGAAAGCCACGGCUAACUACGUG
rnacentral:rRNA from 1 species